UAGGGAAUCUUCGGCAAUGGACGGAAGUCUGACCGAGCAACGCCGCGUGAGUGAAGAAGGUUUUCGGAUCGUAAAGCUCUGUUGUUAGAGAAGAACGUUGGUAGGAGUGGAAAAUCUACCAAGUGACGGUAACUAACCAGAAAGGGACGGCUAACUACGUGCCAGCAGCCGCGGUAAUACGUAGGUCCCGAGCGUUGUCCGGAUUUAUUGGGCGUAAAGCGAGCGCAGGCGGUUCUUUAAGUCUGAAGUUAAAGGCAGUGGCUUAACCAUUGUACGCUUUGGAAACUGGAGGACUUGAGUGCAGAAGGGGGGAGUGGAAUUCCAUGUGUAGCGGUGAAAUGCGUAGAUAUAUGGAGGAACACCGGUGGCGAAAGCGGCUCUCUGGGCUGUAACUGACGCUGAGGCUCGAAAGCGUGGGGAGCAAACAGG
rnacentral:rRNA from 1 species